UGGUGCCAGCCGGGCCCACAUCGCAGCCUUUUCCAUUUCCAGCCCCAGAGUUGUGACGACCUGACACUGUGGUUCUCAUGGAAUUCUGAAACAAGCCUGGCCUCGUCAUCAUAAUGACCGCUUACUCAGGGCAGCGAUGGGACGGAAGAUGACUUCUUCCUGAAUUCAGCCAAAUCAAAAUCCUACUAACUCAGGGCCUAUCUGAACAUCCAUGAGUGUGGUGUCUAGUGCUAUGGAGUGUCCUGGAGAAGGAUGAUGCUCUCCCUUCUAAGUCCCACAGUCUAGAAGAAAUGACAGAAGACAGGUCCCUCUGGGAUUCACGCGCCUCUGCUGGGAUUUUCACACCGUUCGCCAUGUUAACAUGAAGCAACAGCUGGGUUGAAGAGAGCUGAUAAAAAUAGCAAUGUAACUCUGCAAGCAGGCUGCACGAGGAAGGGGGGAGUCAAGCCUACAGUAUGGGGUGGCAGAGAUUUCUUUGCUUUUCUGACUCCAGAUUUGCUCAUCCUAGAACCCCAAUUUUUCAGAAAGGGCCAAGCAAAUUGAUUUUCCAUCUCUAUAUAUGUUAAGUAGGAGACUGAGAGGACAGCCAGGCUUUUUUCAGUCUUCUUCAGUGCUCUGGUUUGUAGGCAACUGGUCGACCCACUUGUUAGCCAGUAGAUCAGACGCCUGGGUCCUGCAGCCCCUGAAUGAGUGAGCUGAGCCAACUUUAGGGAUUUGACUGUUUAAGGUUGCUGUAUGUCGAUGCAGGAACUUCCCACAGUUUCCCUGUCUUUCCAUUCAUUAAAGUGAAGCUU